ACGUCGCUGGUGUACUGGUAACAUGAGUGUUUCCCAGAAUUAUUGACGAAUACACUCGCACCGGGUUCGAUUCCCGGGUGACGUA